rnacentral:rRNA from 1 species
GUCGAACGCUUCUUUCCUCCCGAGUGCUUGCACUCAAUUGGAAAGAGGAGUGGCGGACGGGUGAGUAACACGUGGGUAACCUACCCAUCAGAGGGGGAUAACACUUGGAAACAGGUGCUAAUACCGCAUAACAGUUUAUGCCGCAUGGCAUAAGAGUGAAAGGCGCUUUCGGGUGUCGCUGAUGGAUGGACCCGCGGUGCAUUAGCUAGUUGGUGAGGUAACGGCUCACCAAGGCCACGAUGCAUAGCCGACCUGAGAGGGUGAUCGGCCACACUGGGACUGAGACACGGCCCAGACUCCUACGGGAGGCAGCAGUAGGGAAUCUUCGGCAAUGGACGAAAGUCUGACCGAGCAACGCCGCGUGAGUGAAGAAGGUUUUCGGAUCGUAAAACUCUGUUGUUAGAGAAGAACAAGGACGUUAGUAACUGAACGUCCCCUGACGGUAUCUAACCAGAAAGCCACGGCUAACUACGUGCCAGCAGCCGCGGUAAUACGUAGGUGGCAAGCGUUGUCCGGAUUUAUUGGGCGUAAAGCGAGCGCAGGCGGUUUCUUAAGUCUGAUGUGAAAGCCCCCGGCUCAACCGGGGAGGGUCAUUGGAAACUGGGAGACUUGAGUGCAGAAAAGGAGAGUGGAAUUCCAUGUGUAGCGGUGAAAUGCGUAGAUAUAUGGAGGAACACCAGUGGCGAAGGCGGCUCUCUGGUCUGUAACUGACGCUAAGGCUCGAAAGCGUGGGGAGCAAACAGGAUUAGAUACCCU